GAGGGUAUAGUUCAGUGGUAGAGCGCCUGCUUAUUAGCAUGCAUAGGCCCUGAGUUCAAUCCCCAGUAUCUCCA
rnacentral:tRNA from 1 species